GACGAACGCUGGCGGCGUGCUUAACACAUGCAAGUCGAACGGAAAGGCCUCUUUCGGGGGGUACUCGAGUGGCGAACGGGUGAGUAACACGUGAGUAACCUGCCCUUGACUUUGGGAUAACUUCAGGAAACUGGGGCUAAUACCGGAUAGGAGCUCCUGCUGCAUGGUGGGGGUUGGAAAGUUUCGGCGGUUGGGGAUGGACUCGCGGCUUAUCAGCUUGUUGGUGGGGUAGUGGCUUACCAAGGCUUUGACGGGUAGCCGGCCUGAGAGGGUGACCGGCCACAUUGGGGCUGAGAUACGGCCCAGACUCCUACGGGGGGCAGCAGUGGGGAAUAUUGCACAAUGGGUGGAAGCCUGAUGCAGCAACGCCGUGUGCGGGAUGACGGCCUUCGGGUUGUAAACCGCUUUCGCUCAUGACGAAGCUUUGUGUGACGGUAGUGGGUAAAGAAGCACCGGCUAACUACGUG
rnacentral:rRNA from 1 species